GCCAGCUGUGGUAGUCCCAGCUACUUGGGAGGCUGAGGUGGGAGGGUCGCUUUAGCCCAGGAGUUCUGAGCUGUAGUGAGCUAUGCCAAUUGGUUGGCACUAAGUUCAGCAUCAAUAUGGUGACUUCCCAGGGGCAGGGGACCACCAGGUUGCUUAAGGAGGGGUGAACCAGCCCAGGCUGGAAACGGUGAAUAGCCACUGCAGUCCAGCCUGGGCAACAUAACAAGAUCCUGUCUCUU
ensembl:misc_RNA Metazoa_SRP Metazoan signal recognition particle RNA